rnacentral:misc_RNA from 3 species
AACGCAUCUUGCGCUCCUUGGUAUUCCGAGGAGCAUGCCUGUUUGAGUGUCAUUCAACUUCUCAACCACAUUCGUUCAUUUGAUUGUGGCUUGGAUGAUGGGGGUUUUUGUUUGCAGGCUUCUUAAUUAAUCUGAGAGGUCGGCUCCCCUGAAAUGUAUCAGUGGUAUCUGAGGCUAUUGCUAUAGGUGUGAUAAUUAUCUAUGCCCUUGGUUGUGCCGCAUGGAACUGCUUCCAACAAAGAUGAUCUUUUUGAUGAAUUUGACCUCAAAUCAGGUAGGACUACCCGCUGAACUUAA